rnacentral:rRNA from 1 species
AGAGUUUGAUCCUGGCUCAGGAUGAACGCUGGCGGCGUGCCUAAUACAUGCAAGUCGAGCGCCCCUUUAAGAGGUGACAAUUUCGAUUGUCGGUUCCUAUGGGGAGCGGCGGACGGCUGAGUAACGCGUGGGAACGUGCCCCAAAGUGAGGGAUAACGCACCGAAAGGUGUGCUAAUACCGCAUAUGAUCUUCGGAUUAAAGCUUUAUGCGCUUUGGGAGCGGCCUGAGUCCUAUUAGAUAGUUGGUGAGGUAAAGGCUCACCAAGUCAACGAUGGGUAGCUGGUCUGAGAGGAUGACCAGCCAGACUGGAACUGAGACACGGUCCAGACUCCUACGGGAGGCAGCAGUAAGGAAUCUUCCACAAUGGGCGAAAGCCUGAUGGAGCAACGCCGCGUGCAGGAUGAAGGCCUUCGGGUCGUAAACUGCUUUUAUGAGUGAAGAAUAUGACGGUAACUCAUGAAUAAGGGUCGGCUAACUACGUGCCAGCAGCCGCGGUCAUACGUAGGACCCAAGCGUUAUCCGGAGUGACUGGGCGUAAAGAGUUGCGUAGGUGGUCAGUAAAGUGAAUAGUGAAAUCCGGGGGCUCAACCUCACGGGCUAUUAUUCAAACUCACUGACUCGAGAGUAGCAGAGGUAACUGGAAUUUCUGAAGUAGGGGUAAUAUCCGUAGAUAUCAGAAGGAACACCAAUGGCGUAGGCAGGUUACUGGGCUAUUUCUGACACUGAGGCACGAAAGCGUGGGGAGCGCAACCGGAUUAGAUACCCGGGUAGUCCACGCCGUAAACGAUGGAUACUAGCUGUUGGAGGUAUCGACCCCUUCAGUAGCGAAGCUAACGCGUUAAGUAUCCCGCCUGUGGAGUACGGCCGCAAGGCUAAAACUUAAAUGAAUUGACGG